AUUGAACGCUGGCGGCAGGCUUAACACAUGCAAGUCGAGCGGAGAUGAGGUGCUUGCACCUUAUCUUAGCGGCGGACGGGUGAGUAAUGCUUAGGAAUCUGCCUAUUAGUGGGGGACAACAUUCCGAAAGGAAUGCUAAUACCGCAUACGCCCUACGGGGGAAAGCAGGGUAUCUUCGGACCUUGCGCUAAUAGAUGAGCCUAAGUCGGAUUAGCUAGUUGGUGGGGUAAAGGCCUACCAAGGCGACGAUCUGUAGCGGGUCUGAGAGGAUGAUCCGCCACACUGGGACCGAGAAACGGCCCAGACUCCUACGGGAGGCAGCAGUGGGGAAUAUUGGACAAUGGGCGGAAGCCUGAUCCAGCCAUGCCGCGUGUGUGAAGAAGGCCUUUUGGUUGUAAAGCACUUUAAGCGAGGAGGAGGCUACCUGGAUUAAUACUCUAGGAUAGUGGACGUUACUCGCAGAAUAAGCACCGGCUAACUCUGUGCCAGCAGCCGCCGUAAAAC
rnacentral:rRNA from 1 species